AGUGAACGCUGGCGGUAGGCCUAACACAUGCAAGUCGAACGGCAGCACAGUAAGAGCUUGCUCUUACGGGUGGCGAGUGGCGGACGGGUGAGGAAUACAUCGGAAUCUACUUUUUCGUGGGGGAUAACGUAGGGAAACUUACGCUAAUACCGCAUACGACCUACGGGUGAAAGCAGGGGAUCUUCGGACCUUGCGCGAUUGAAUGAGCCGAUGUCGGAUUAGCUAGUUGGCGGGGUAAAGGCCCACCAAGGCGACGAUCCGUAGCUGGUCUGAGAGGAUGAUCAGCCACACUGGAACUGAGACACGGUCCAGACUCCUACGGGAGGCAGCAGUGGGGAAUAUUGGACAAUGGGCGCAAGCCUGAUCCAGCCAGACCGCGUGGGUGAAGAAGGCCUUCGGGUUGUAAAGCCCUUUUGUUGGGAAAGAAAAGCAGCAGGUUAACGCCCCGCUGUUCUGACGGUACCCAAAGAAUAAGCACCGGCGAACUUCGU
rnacentral:rRNA from 1 species